rnacentral:rRNA from 1 species
CCUACGGGAGGCAGCAGUAGGGAAUUUUCGUCAAUGGGCGCAAGCCUGAACGAGCGAUGCCGCGUGAGUGAAGAAGGCCUUCGGGUCGUAAAGCUCUGUUGCGGGGGAAAAAAGGCAGCAUCAGGAAAUGGGUGCUGACUGAUGGUGCCCCGCCAGAAAGUCACGGCUAACUCCGUGCCAGCAGCCGCGGUAAUACGUAGGUGGCGAGCGUUAUCCGUAAUGAUUGGGCGUAAAGGGUGCGCAGGCGGUCCUGCAAGUCUGGAGUGAAACGAAUGAGCUCAACUCAGGCAUGGCAUUUGAAACUGGAGAACUGGAGAGCAGGAGAGGGCGGUGGAACUCGAGGUGUAGCG